UCCAGGAGAGAAAGCUCAUUCUAUCCGCACUGUCGGCCAUGAUGUGGUUUAAUGCUCAUUGAUUGAUUCGAUUGGUGUAUCUGUUUGCGUCACCAUGGUCCUGCGACGUCAGAUCAGAAGCAGCUAAAGUAGGCCUAUCUUGUCUUCUUGUCUCCAAGUGUUCAUUGUUCACAAAAGAGAGUAACGCAAGUAACGAACUAAUUUCAAUUUCAGUAAUUGUAACUGCAUUACUUGAUUUAAAAAAAAUACUUCGUUACAUGCUCGUUACCGCGAAAAGUAGUGGAAUUACAGUAAUGCGUUACUUUGUAACGCGUUACUCCCAACACUGGUUAUAACUCAUGUUACUAAUCAUGGCCACGGGUCAUGGCAUCUUUUUUUUUUUUUAAAUAUAUAUUUUUUUAUAUACUUCUUGUGUAGCCCUGUGUAGUUGAUGUUGGUGUUUCAAUGAAGGGCUUUUCUUUUUGAUGUGCAAAGGACUUCAACACAUCUAACCUUUUGGUCUCUUUCUCUUGUUCAUCGCUCUUACUCGUUUUCUGUCACACCAACACACACACUAACAAACACACGCACACUCUAGCACCUCACACCCACCAACAUAACUCAGUGUCAUUUUUGCCACAAUGUUUGGCUCACAGCAUAGACCACCAGGGGAGACUCCACACUCACAUGCCCCCAAGAAAUAUUCCCCUAGACUAGCAUUAAUAUGAAUUUCUCUCACUCUUCUCUUUUUCUCUUCCCCUCUCUCUUUCUAUCCCCUUCUCUCUCUUCCUCUAUCUUUCUCUUCCUCUUUUUCUCUCACUCUAUCUCUCCCCCUCACUCUUAUCUAUUUUUCUCCCCUUCUCUUUCUCUUCCUCUCUCUUUCUCUCCCCUUCACUUCCUCUCUCUUUCUAUCCCCUUCUCUUCCUCUCUCUUCCUUUCUCUUCUCUUUUUAUCCCCUUCUCUCUCUUUCUAUCCCCUCCUUUUCCUCUCUUUCUAUCCCCUUCUCUUCCUCUCACUAUAUCUCUCCCCCUUACUCUUAUAUCUCCCUCCCUCUCUUCCUGUGUAGGAUGUCUGCUCCUUUUUUUUCAUUUGUAAAGUGAUGUUAAUUUUUAAAGUGAUGUCAAAUUGAAUUUGAGACCUUUUUUAGAUUCAUGAUCUGUUCUCCAAAGGUUAGGAUGUAUUAGAUUCAGCUAAUGAUUUGCACAUUUUGAAGUUUAUUAUGUCUCUGUGAGUAUAAUUGAUCUAAUUGAGUUGGGAGAGAACAUGCCAUUUUAGUCCAAUGAGAAGACGGACAAAUGUUUGUGCUACUACAGUUUCUGCUAUUUGUAUCUUGAAGCACAUUGUAGCUUUACUCAUGUAGCUUUCAAUAAAAGAAUUGACUGAAACUGACUGACUCAUUUCAAUACAAAGAUGUACAACUACUAGGGACAACUCUUUAGGAGUUUAAUUUUUAUUAGCAUUAAAAAUUCAAGUUAGAAGUAUAAUUUAAAUCUAC
ensembl:lncRNA